GAUGAACGCUAGCGGCAGGCCUAAUACACGCAAGUCGAACGGUAAGUACGGUAGCAAUACUGUACCAAGAGUGACGCACGGGUGCGUAACACGUAUGCAACCUACCCUUUACAGGUGGAUAGCUCGGGGAAACUCGAAUUAACCCGCCAUAAAAUGAUUGAAUGGCAUCAUUUGAUUAUUAAAUCUGCGGAGGUAAAGGAUGGGCAUGCGUCUGAUUAUCCCUAGUUGGUAGUGUAACGGACUACCAAGGCGAUGAUCAGUAGGGGAACUGAGAGGUUGAUCCCCCACACUGGCACUGAGAUACGGGCCAGACUCCUACGGGAGGCAGCAGUAGGGAAUAUUGGUCAAUGGGUGAGAGCCUGAACCAGCCAUGCCGCGUGCAGGAAGAAGGCCUUCUGGGUUGUAAACUGCUUUUGCCAGGGGAUAAAAGUACCUUGCGAGGUAAAUUGAAGGUACCUGGUGAAUAAGCCACGGCUAACUACGUGCCAGCAGCCGCGGUAAUACGUAGGUGGCGAGCGUUGUCCGGAUUUAUUGGGUUUAAAGGGUGCGUAGGCGGCCCUGUAAGUCAGUGCUGAAAUAUUCCCAGCUUAACUGGGAGGGUGGCAUUGAUACUGUGGGGCUAGAGUACAGAUGAGGUAGGCGGAAUUGACGGGGUAGCGGUGAAAUGCUUAGAUAUCGUCAAGGGGGUAGCGGUGAAAUGCUUAGAUAUCGUCAAGAACACCUUAUAGCGAAGGCACUUUACUAGGCUGAAACUGACGCUGAGGAACGAAAGGUGUGGGGAUCAAACAGGAUUAGAUACCCCUGGUAGUCCCACACUGUAAACGUUUGAAUUACCCUCGCUUGGUUUGCGAUAUUACGGGCAAGCGGGUCAAACGGAAGCGCUUUAGUUAUUCCACUUGGGGUGUACGCCGCCACGUGUGAACCUUCAAGAGGAUUGUGACGGGGGGGUUCCCCGCCACACGAG
rnacentral:rRNA from 1 species